GGAAAUUAAUUUGGUUCAGCUGUUUCUAAUUAAAACAGCUGACAUGCCUUAGGCCUGACAUGCUAAUGAAAGCCUGAGACCGUAUCAAAAAUAUCUGAGCCUUUUCAACGUAGGUCACGCAGAAGAUUUAAUUUUUAUUUAUAAUAACAAUUUCAUUUUUAUUAGAAUGUGCCAAAAUGUUUGAUCAGCUACACAGACUGUGUUUACUGAUUACUCAACUUAUAAAAGACGGACAAUAUGUGUCAUUUGGCCAAGAGUGUGACUAAACAAACUAAAUUGAAAAACUCCCCAAGAUAAAGUGUUUUUUUGUUUUCUACCACGCAGAAAAGUCCACACUUGGGGGUAUUUUUCAAAAAGCAGCAGGAACAUCCCUCAGUUGUUCUUCUCUUAUUAGACAAGCUAGACUCUGAUUAGCUUGGGUAAUCUGAGAACUGUCUUUUAAAAUACAUCCAUAGUCCCAACAAGGAGAUAUACAUACAGUAUGGCAAGCUGUUUUACACUAAUUCACUGUUUAGAAGUAAAAACAUUUUAAUAGUAUUAGAGCAACAAAUCAAAAAAGUAAUUCUGCCUGGGAGAGUGGGCCUCUAGUACCAGGGUUAGACAUGCUGCCUACUGUGGCAUUAUCCUAAAAGGGGUAGAGAGUCUGUGUUAUGUCUGAAUCGAAGUUUACUUGUUUUUAAAGAAAAAAAUCCAGUGUGAAAUGAACUUGGGGUGUAGUGAAACAUGAUAGAGUACGUAGUUUGGGGAAUAGCCAUCCUCCAUUGACCCCUAGCGUUCCAAAAUACAGCAGCCGAUGCUCCCAAAAGGCUUACAAUGCCAGUGAUAGGGGCAUAGAGUUGCUCAUACAAAGAAAUUGCCAUUUUUAAUAGGUUUGCCACCUGUCCUGUUAAAUAUACAUCCUUUAAAUGGCAAUUAAAUGUUGCGUCCCGUGUUAAACCAAUAUGCAGUUGGGGUUGGAUCUUUGCCUGCCGGGAGACGGGCAGAGAUCCAACCCCCUCUCCCAAUAUGCCAAGCAACAUGUUCUUUAUUUCCAUAAAUGUCCAUAUGGGCGUCCCUUAUUUUCAUUUCUGAAAGGUGACAACCCUAAUUUUUACACCAUUAACAAGCAAAAAGUAGCUCUACACUUCUCACUGGUAAAAUUCUAAGGGCC
rnacentral:lncRNA from 1 species